AUACGUAGGGAGCGAGCGUUAUCCGGAUUUAUUGGGUGUAAAGGGUGCGUAGGCGGUUUAAUAAGUCUGUGGUUUAAGCCCGAAGCUUAACUUCGGUUCGCCACAGAAACUGUUAGAAUUGAGUAUGGUAGAGGCAAGUGGAAUUUCUAGUGUAGCGGUUAAAUGCGUAGAUAUUAGAAGGAACACCAGUGGCGAAGGCGACUUGCUGGGCCAUUACUGACGCUGAGGCACGAAAGCGUGGGGAGCAAAUAGGAUUAGAUACCCUAGUAGUCCACGCCGUAAACGUUGGAUACUAAGUGUCGGAGUUAUUCGGUGCUGAAGUUAACACAUUAAGUAUCCCACCUGAGGAGUACGGUCGCAAGGCUGAAACUCAAAUGAAUUGACGGGG
rnacentral:rRNA from 1 species